rfam:Triticum aestivum genome assembly, contig: Triticum_aestivum_CS42_TGACv1_scaffold_516715_6BS
UAGGGUGUGGACAAGUGGUAAGACAAUGGGUUUUGGACCCGUUACUCGGAGGUCCGAAUCCUUCGGUCCCAG